rnacentral:tRNA from 1 species
GAUAGUCAGCUAAAAAAGCUUUCGGGCCCAUACCCCGGACAUGAUGGUUAAAAUCCUUCCCCCAUCA